rnacentral:rRNA from 1 species
UGGGGAAUUUUGGACAAUGGGCGAAAGCCUGAUCCAGCAAUGCCGCGUGUGUGAAGAAGGCCUUCGGGUUGUAAAGCACUUUUGUCCGGAAAGAAAUCCUUGGCUCUAAUACAGUCGGGGGAUGACGGUACCGGAAGAAUAAGCACCGGCUAACUACGUGCCAGCAGCCGCGGUAAUACGUAGGGUGCAAGCGUUAAUCGGAAUUACUGGGCGUAAAGCGUGCGCAGGCGGUUUGCUAAGACCGAUGUGAAAUCCCCGGGCUCAACCUGGGAACUGCAUUGGUGACUGGCAGGCUAGAGUAUGGCAGAGGGGGGUAGAAUUCCACGUNUAGCAGUGAAAUGCGUAGAGAUGUGGAGGAAUACCGAUGGCGAAGGCAGCCCCCUGGGCAAUACUGACGCUCAUGCACGAAAGCGUGGGGAGCAAACAGGAUUAGAUACCCUGGUAGUCCACGCCCUAAACGAUGUCAACUAGUUGUUGGGGAUUCAUUUCCUUAGUAACGUAGCUAACGCGUGAAGUUGACCGCCUGGGGAGUACGGUCGCAAGAUUAAAACUCAAAUGAAUUGACGGGGUCAUAGCUGUUUCC